GACUAGGGGUGCCAAUAUGGCUGAGAGAGGGAAACUUCAACUCUAUGAACCUGAACUGGUUAACACCAGCGUAGGGAAGUCGACU
rnacentral:ncRNA from 1 species